UACGUAGGGUGCAAGCGUUUAAUCGGAAUUACUGGGCGUAAAGAGCUCGUAGGUGGUUUGUCGCGUUGUCCGUGAAAUUCCCUGGCUUAACUGGGGGCGUGCGGCGAUACGGGCAGACUGGAGUACUGCAGGGGAGACUGGAAUUCCUGGUGUAGCGGUGGAAUGCGCAGAUAUCAGGAAGGAACACCCGGUGGCGAAGGCGGGUCU
rnacentral:rRNA from 1 species